UACGUAGGGGGCAAGCGUUGUCCGGAUUUAUUGGGCGUAAAGAGCGUGUAGGCGGCCUGGAAGGUCAGCUGUGAAAACUCGAGGCUCAACCUCGAGACGUCGGUUGAAACCACUUGGCUAGAGUCCGGAAGAGGAGAGUGGAAUUCCCGGUGUAGCGGUGAAAUGCGCAGAUAUCGGGAGGAACACCAAUUGCGAAGGCAGCUCGCUGGAACGUAACUGACGCUGAGACGCGAAAGCGUGGGGAGCAAACAGG
rnacentral:rRNA from 1 species